GGUACUGCACAGAACAGACAUUGUGACAUAUAUCUAGGCAAAUUGCCUAGAAGUGAAUCCCCUCUCCUGCUUAAGUCCUUCCCACAGAGAGCGGUUUGAUAUGUCACUGAAACCAGCAUCCAGGUGGUAUUGCUCCAUAUGCCUGAGACCCUAACAAAAGCCUAAUUACAACUCAUAUGCCUGGAGCCAGGACAUGUGCAGGAUGCCAUGAUGGUCCAAGUUAUAUUGGGAUUCAGCCAAUAGAAGAUAUUUUGCCUGUCAUCCCUAAGCUUAGGACAAUAGACUCUGCCAAGAGAGGGGAUUAUUACAUAUUGCAGAGCCCAGCACCUAGGUGGAGUGACUCUCAUCUUUUUCUUCUACCCCGUAUAUAGCCAGCUUGGUGACCUACUAUUUGAGUCUAUACCCAGGCCCAGACCACAGAUGAAAUUGUGCAAUAUGUGGAACAAACACCUAAACAAUAUAUAACACCUUCCUUGGCUCUGUCUACAAAGGGCACUUUUAUAUAUCACUGGGACCAUCAACCAGGUGAUGUUGUGCCAUAUAACUGAGACCGUAUCAAAAGCCUAAUAACAAGACGUAUGUCUGGAGCCCCGAUAUGCACAGGAUGGUGAUAUAACCCUCUUCUCUGGAAUGGGCCCCACACAAAGGAAGGAUAGUGACAUAUUGCAAGCCCAGGCACACAGGCCCAGAGCACAGUUGAAAUUGUGACAUAUGUACACCAAGCAACCAAGCAAUGUAUAACACCUCAUUUGGCAAUGGAAUCGAGGGCACUUUUACAUAUCACUGAGACCAGCGCCCAGCUGAUGUGAAAUAUUGGCCUGAACCCUGCCUACAAAAGCAUUGUGGCUUUUAUCUAGCUCCAUUACAUAAGUGAUGUGACUUCCUUCUACUGCCUUGGCCCUGCACUUAUGGUGAAUCGUGACACAAAAUUGGGUAGAGCAACCAGCCUGGGCCCUGACCAGCACAGAGAUUGAGGCAUAUUGCUGAACCCAGGACCAAGAUGAAGUCACUCUCCUGCCUUGAUCCUGCACACAGGGACCCUUGUGACAUAUAUACAGGCCAAUUGCCUAGGUGAUGUUGUGCAAUAUACCUGAGACCAGAUCAAUGGCCUAAUAAUGACUCUUUUACCUAGAGCCAGGACAUGUGCAGGAUGGUAACUCUCAUCCCUGAACCUUUCCACAGGUGUUAUUGUCACAUAUACCUUUUCCAGCUCCAAAGUGAUUUAAUAAUCCAGCCUAGUUAUAGCCCACAGAUAAUAUUUGGACAUAUACCUGAGUCAAGAACCUUGGUGAUUUGACUCUCAUGUCUUAACAGUGUCCUCAGAAGGGAUCAUAACAUAUCUCUGGACCCAUCAUCUAGGUUAUGUGACUCUCUUCUCCUGCCUGAACCCUGCUUCCAGUGAAGAGUGUUGCAUUUCUAAGCACUGCAUCCAAAUGACAUGAGUUUCUUGCCUGGGCCGUUUCAACAGAAGGCAUUGUGACAUAUCUCUAGGUCUAUCAUUUAGGUGAUAUGACUCUCCUCUCCUGCCUGGACACUCUCCACAAGGGGCAUUAUGCCAUAGAGCUAGAGCUAGCAACCAAGUUUUGUGAAUUUUCUGUUAGGGCCUUGCCUACAAAGAGAAUUUUGGAAUAUUUCUGGCUUAGAAUUUAAGUAAUGUGGUUGUUCUGCCUGUUCAGUAACCACAGAGGAGAAGGUGAAAUAUAUCUAGGCACCGCAAACAGGCAUGAUAAUGAGUCUUGUAUGUGGACCCAGCAAAUAGGAGAAAUUUUGACUCUUAUAACUAGGUUUAGGAACAUGAGUGAUGUCCAGGAUCUCCUUCUGGUAAGAAGGUCACAGAAGAUUGCAACACUCACAAUUAUUUUGUAACACCUUUGGGUUGUAUAGGGAGUGUCGUAACAGGGCCAAACACACAGAGGAAAUUGUGACAGUCAUAUGCACACCUACCUGACAGUAAAGACUUUCACAAUCACAAAUGGAUGAAGGCAACUGUCCUACAUGAAAACAGGACAUGUGUGGUAUUGUACAUCUAAAACCUAGAAUUUUAUUCCAUUGUGACUGUGAUAUAAAUCAAUGCCAAGCACCUGCG
ensembl:lncRNA LINC00293 long intergenic non-protein coding RNA 293